UGGGGAAUUUUGGACAAUGGGGGAAACCCUGAUCCAGCCAUCCCGCGUGUGCGAUGAAGGCCUUCGGGUUGUAAAGCACUUUUGGCAGGAAAGAAACGUCGCGGGUUAAUACCCCGCGAAACUGACGGUACCUGCAGAAUAAGCACCGGCUAACUACGUGCCAGCAGCCGCGGUAAUACGUAGGGUGCAAGCGUUAAUCGGAAUUACUGGGCGUAAAGCGUGCGCAGGCGGUUCGGAAAGAAAGAUGUGAAAUCCCAGAGCUUAACUUUGGAACUGCAUUUUUAACUACCGGGCUAGAGUGUGUCAGAGGGAGGUGGAAUUCCGCGUGUAGCAGUGAAAUGCGUAGAUAUGCGGAGGAACACCGAUGGCGAAGGCAGCCUCCUGGGAUAACACUGACGCUCAUGCACGAAAGCGUGGGGAGCAAACAGGAUUAGAUACCCUGGUAGUCCACGCCCUAAACGAUGUCAACUAGCUGUUGGGGCCUUCGGGCCUUGGUAGCGCAGCUAACGCGUGAAGUUGACCGCCUGGGGAGUACGGUCGCAAGAUUAAAACUUAAAUGAAUUGACGGAGUCAUAGCUGUUUCCU
rnacentral:rRNA from 1 species